UACGUAGGCAGCAAGCGUUGUUCGGAAUUACUGGGCGUAAAGAGUGUGUAGGCGGUGCUCUAAGUUUGGUGUGAAAUCUCCCGGCUUAACUGGGAGGGUGCAUUAGAAACUGGAAUGCUAGAGGAUGGGAGAGGUAAGCGGAAUUCCUGGUGUAGCGGUGAAAUGCGUAGAUAUCAGGAGGAACACCUGUGGUGUAGACAGCUUACUGGACCAUUUCUGACGCUGAGACACGAAAGCGUGGGUAGCAAACAGG
rnacentral:rRNA from 1 species